AUGGUCAGCGUCACCGAGCUCUGCCCGCUGUCCCUGGAGAUCGUGGCCCGGCCCUGGAGCGACGGCGCGUUUGUCCCGCCCCUUUUUCCGGAUGGCCACUCCCACUUUGAGGCCCUUGACCAAUCAGGUUUCCCAUCCCCAUCUGCCCUUGUCCCCGCAGGGCUCCGGGCGGCCGUGACCCUGCUGGAGUGCGGGGGGGACCUCCAGCCCCCCGGGGGGUCCCUGCGCCUCCUCUGCCGAGGGUCUGGGUUCAGUUUUGGGAGUUUCUCCAUGUUCUGGAUCCGCCAGAGACCCGGGCAGGGGCUGGAAUUCGUCGCGGGGAUCAGGAGCAGUGGUGGCAACAUCGGCUACGCGCCAUCGGUCAAGGGCCGGUUCACGAUCUCCCGGGACAACGGGCAGAGCUCGGUGACGCUGACCAUGACCGACCUGCGGGACGAGGAUUCCGGAUCCUAUUUCUGUGCCAAAUGUGUUGAUGGUGGCUGUGGUUCCAGUUCUGGUGCUGCUGCUUAUGUUGCUGCUUUUGGUCGAGGCCCCAAGGUGCCACCCCUGGGAACUCAAGACGCGCCGGCGGUUUUGCUGACUGGGCUGGUGCUGAUCGUGGCUACGGUGACGUAA